rnacentral:pre_miRNA from 1 species
AAUAAAUACGGUUUUAACACGGUUCAUGCUCAACGUUUCAUCGUUCGUCUUAUUUAAAAAACAAUUAUGAUUAGUAUUAUUAUUAUUAUUAUUAUUAGAUGAUAAUGUAUGAAUAGUACUUUAUGUGUGACUAAUAUUUUUAAUUUUUUUCAUAAAAUUUUUAAAUAAGACGGAAGGUAAAAAUGCUGAAUAUAUAUCUAUGGCUGCAUUUAUU